GCUGCAGUGGGGAAUAUUGCACAAUGGGGGAAACCCUGAUGCAGCGACGCCGCGUGCGGGAUGGAGGCCUUCGGGUCGUGAACCGCUUUUGUUUGGGAGCAAGCCUUCGGGUGAGUGUACCUUUCGAAUAAGCACCGGCUAACUACGUGCCAGCAGCCGCGGUAAUACGUAGGGUGCAAGCGUUGUCCGGAAUCAUUGGGCGUAAAGGGCUCGUAGGCGGUUCGUCGCGUCCGGUGUGAAAGCCCAACGCUUAACGGUGGGUCUGCGCCGGGUACGGGCGUGCUUGAGUGCGGCAGGGGAGGCUGGAAUUCCCGGUGUAACGGUGGAAUGUGUAGAUAUCGGGAAGAACACCGAUGGCGAAGGCAGGUCUCUGGGCCGUCACUGACGCUGAGGAGCGAAAGCGUGGGGAGCGAACAGGAUUAGAUACC
rnacentral:rRNA from 1 species